UUUUAGCCCCGAUUGCAGCGGCAUCCUUUUCUGAUGAGGCACGAAGAGGAAAAGAUAGAGCGGAAAGCGGGUCGAGUU
rnacentral:sRNA from 2 species